rnacentral:rRNA from 1 species
AGAGUUUGAUCCUGGCUCAGAUUGAACGCUGGCGGAAUGCUUUACACAUGCAAGUCGAACGAUGAACCUUAGCUUGCUAGGGGGAUUAGUGGCGAACGGGUGAGUAAUAUAUCGGAACGUGCCUUGUAAUGGGGGAUAACUAGUCGAAAGAUUAGCUAAUACCGCAUACGCCCUGAGGGGGAAAGUAGGGGAUCUUCGGACCUUACGUUAUAAGAGCGGCCGAUAUCUGAUUAGCUAGUUGGUGGGGUAAUGGCCUACCAAGGCUUCGAUCAGUAGCUGGUCUGAGAGGACGACCAGCCACACUGGAACUGAGACACGGUCCAGACUCCUACGGGAGGCAGCAGUGGGGAAUUUUGGACAAUGGGCGAAAGCCUGAUCCAGCCAUUCCGCGUGAGUGAAGAAGGCCUUCGGGUUGUAAAGCUCUUUCGCAAGGGAAGAAAACUUACAUUCUAAUAAAGUGUGAGGCUGACGGUACCUUGAUAAGAAGCACCGGCUAACUUCGUGCCAGCAGCCGCGGUAAU